AAUCAGGAUCACACGAGCAGCUGGGUGGAAGCAGGCGGUGGCAGGAGGGCCUGGCUCGGCACACGGGGCCCGGCAGCACCACUGAGGGUUCCCAACAGUGUGCCCUUCAACCGCCCGUGCAGCGCUGGCCCAUGGGGAUGCUGAGCGAUGAGGAGGUGGCAAGCGGCCACGCCCAGCAUCUGACGUUUUCCGCAUCACCACCACCAGCACCACCAGCACAACCUGGCCCCUGAUGAAUAUUCUCCCUUAUUCUGCUACAGUCCAAGAAGGGCUUGGACACAGACUGACAGCCACAUAGAAACAAAGGACCUGCUUUUUUGCUGAAGCCAACCUGCUUAUUAUAGUGGUCCAUCCCAUCAUCCUGGGUCCUACAUUGAAUCCAUCCCAAGGCUCAGUUUUCUACUCCCUUGUGAAUGAAGGGAGUUCUUGGGUAGCGGAGCCCUCACCUACUGCUGAUCUCUGAGACUCAGGGUCCUCUGCAGACAGGCAUGGAUGACACCUUGACCAAGUCACACAGAAGAGCCUGGAGUAGUUCUAGGGAGCAAGGAAUGUGGACACAGACAGUGGAAGACUCUGGAAAUUACAAAGCUUCUAGCACAUUCAGGGUGGCUCUUUAGUGUGUCAGUAGAUUCUAGCAUGGACAAUGAGGCUGCCCCUUCUGCUUAGAGAAUGGCCCAAGGUUCUGCCUCCUGCCCUGACUCAACUGUUGCCUCAUCUGGAUUCUCUUCUGCAACCUCCUACUAGAUUUCCUGUACAGAAAGAGGAUUUCUGCCCAGCCAUCAAGCUUGACCACUCAUUGGAAAUUGGCCACUAAUGAGAUCUACUACAUAGUCUGAGGUCUGGCUUCCCAUAAGGUGACCCCCUCAAGUUGGUCUUCUCCAGCCCCUACUCUGCAGCUUCAGACAAGUAUGAGCCUGCACCCUGAUUCCCACCUUCCUGCCACCACAUGAGGAAGGUCCCCAAAACAUGACGCCUUGGCAACAACACAGUGACACAGCACUAACAACCCCCUAGAGUGGAGUGCCUAGCAAGAGCCCAGCUCUGUGCUAAACAUGCUUUUGGAUUAGAUCAUUCAUCUUUUAAUUGCCACAGUAAGGACAUGAAGUUAAGUCUUGAAAUUUUAUUUAUUUAUUUUUUUCUCCAUCUUCUCAGAAAUUAUUGCCAACUGUAAAGUGAGAAAAAUGAGACUCAGAGAUGUCAAAGAGUUUGUUCGAAGUCUCACAGCCAAUGAGCAGAAGAACUAGCUGAGUUAGUCUGAAUCUCAUGAAAGCCGGUGGUGUGGAGAUUGGGUGGGAUUCCUGGGUAUCACCUGCCUAGAAACUGCAAUGUGAGGAAUGGAAAGGAUCAUCUAAGGGAGAAGCCGGACCAAACACCAUCUGAGUCCCAGCCCUUCAGGUCCCCACCAGUCUUAAGCAAUGCUUUGAGGACGUUUGUCCAGGAAAAGUUCAAUAGGUAAUAUGUGACCUUUUAACAUUAGAUUCCUGGAGACAAUGCCCCGCUUCUCUUGUAGAACCCAUAUGAGCACGACUUGGAAGAUGUCCUAGGCAAGCUCUGGAGAGAUGUCACCAGGAAGAAAGAAGGAAGACAUCUCAAGAUUCAUAGGACCUGGGUAGCCUUUAUGCAGGUCCACUGUUGACAGUGGCUCACUCUCAGUGCCUGUCAGCCUGGCCUGAAGCACUUGUCACCUUGGACAAGUGUUCUUAUCUCUUCCUCUGUUUAAUGAAGAAACUGAAUUGAAUUCCUACUUUCAAUACUCUAAGGAUCAUGGAACCCUUUCUUUUAGACAAAGAUUAUGCAGAAAAUAAGGGCCAAAAAAAACCCCAAAGCUGCUGUGAUCAUCGAAGUGUGGCAGAUGGCCUGGAGGGAGAUUCCACCUGGCACAGCUUUCAACUACCAACUGACACCACCUCUAAGGGUCUUUCGAGUUUUAGCAUUCUCUGAGCUGAGCAAAGGAAUGUGCUCAUGCAUUUCUCCCAAUGAAGACCGGAUGUGGAGGAGGCAGCUAAGGGCAGAAGGAAGGCAAACAAAAAGUUAUAUAAUCAACCAAGUGGAUAAUGGGUCCUAGCAUGCAUCAACAUUAAUAGAACUCCACUGACACACUUCCCUCAGCUUAGUGACUAAGGAUUGGUGAAUAACCCAGGGACUUUCACUCUUCACCCAAGGCUCCAUGAAAUGCUUUUUAUGGUCUCUAUGACCUCAGAGGUGAGCUCUCUCCAUUGCUGAAAGUGUCCAAAGAGUUUACUCCUGCAUGGUUCUAUUUCAUGUAAGGUAUGAAUUUCUUCUGGCCUCUAAAAGACUAUCUAUAUUGUGAAUCUCCAAGUGAGAAACUUAGUACACUUUACAGUGAGUCCCACAUUGUUUUUGGAGUUCCCAAUAAUACCCACUGUUUUGUGGCACAUCACUUGGGAAAUACAGCUUUUAAGGGAUGCUAGCUUAGGAAGGGAGAUUAAAUGAUGGCUAACGUCUAUUCAUAUAUUCUAAGUCUGUCAUUCUAUGGUGCUCUGUGUGGGAGUGAAGAAUGAAAAGUCUUGUCCAGGAGCUAUGGAGUGGGCACAGAAAGCCAGGGCACCUGUUCCUUCAAGUAACUUAUGCUCUUUUGUUAGGGUGCUCGUGGUCUUAAGGAAAGUUUACAUCCUGAUGGACCAGAAAGACUAUAACUUAAGUAAAGACCCUGAGGAAAUAGGAGAGACAAGAGAAGGGUCUCUCAGAGGAUGCACUAUUAUCUUCCAUUUGCAGGGAGAUGGGUGUGGAUGAUGGAAGAGCACAGAGCCCCCAUCUCAGCAUUUCCUUAGGGGGCCCUGAGCUUCAGCAGAACCUUCCAAACACAGGCCCACACUAGGACUCCUUACCUACUUCCUUACACAUUCUGGCCAUACUUUUAGAAAUGACUCACUGAGUUCUACAAACAUAGUGUGUGCUCAGUAAAUACAGUGCUAACUGCUCACAGGGACCUAAGGCUAACUGUUGACAUAAGAAGAAAAAAUGAUUCAGUACUAUCUAAAUCAAUCUAGGCAACCCUUAGGUGGGACACUUAAGGUGGGCAUCCUCUCUGUGUCCCUUCCCCAGCCACCUGGGUCCCUCCUUUGUUGUCUGCAUCAAGUCCUUAAAACUUACUAUGUCAAAGAUUGAACACACCUGGGGGAAUUUGUGCCUUCUUUUAUGGUGACUAUGUUAGACUGACAAUUGUCCCCAGAUUUGUUCUUCCCCUCUUCCUCUUUAAUUUUUUUGUGGAUGGUUGGCUUCCUAGAAUCAAGACUAAAUUUCCCAGCCUCCCUUGCAGCUAAAUUAUGAUCAAUAGCUCACAAGGGAAAUUGCUACAUGCAACUUCAGAACUUAAAGAGAGGGCAGGGGCCCUUCUCCUCCUUUUCCUCAUUCCUGAACUAAAGCUGGAUGGUCUGGAGUAGACAAGGGAGUAGAAUCCAGAUGUUAAUGAAGAUAGAAUAAUAAAAUAGAAGACAGGCAGCGGAAAGGGCCUGAGUUCCUGAUGAUUGUUGAGGCAAAACUUUGGAUAUUUUAUCUUUAAAUUUUAAUUAUGUGUAAGAUAAAUAAAAGUCUACUUUUCAACUAAAAUGGAAGAGGGAUGUUUUGUCUGUUUUGCUCACUUAUUUUAUACCUAGUACUUAGAAUAGAUCCUUGCAUUCAGUAAUAUUUUAAAUAAAUCAAUCUUAUACAGUACAGAGACCUUGAGAAACCAUCUCCCACGCCUUUCAACAGAUAACAACAAAGCGAUUCUAUGCUGACCAGACUUCAUUUUUACAGAAGAUGAAAGGGAUCCUAUUUACCUGCUGUCAUAUUUACAUACAUGUGGACUUAUUACAAACCUACAUACAUGUGGGCAUAUUUACAGUGCUUGCCAUCUAACACUCUGGUUUAUAAAACAGAGCGUGUUGCAUGGCUAUUUAUUAUAAAUAUAGUAUUUAUACUCAUUCAGGUUUCAAAGUGGUCUGUUUUCCUCCUAGCAUACACAGCCCUACUGCACCCAGAACCUAGGCCAAAUAGGUCUAUUUCCUUACAAUUUUCCUCUAUGGGGUAUUUUUUGUAGAUUGGUUGGUUUUAUUUGGUUUCUAGCUCACCCCUUAACUGAAAAUGACACUUUUGGAAGUUUCAGCUUUAUGUAGGUGUCUGCUUCCAGCUCUCCCUUUCUAGGGGCUCAGAAACUUGUCAUCAGUGCCCUACACAUAAGUUCUUAAGAUCCAGACCCCAGGGCUCCAGGCAAGCCAUCGUCUUCAGCAUUUGGUUACCUCCGAUGACUGCAUUCCCAUAGUUUCUUUCUUUUUCUUUCUUUGUCUCUGUCUCUCUGCUUCUGAGAACUUUGCUCAUGAAUUCUUGCCCAUGCCACUAUCCACAUUUGAAAAAAAGAAAUAUUUUUUUUAAAGCUCUUCAUCCAGAAUUGUUAAUUUUCCAAACUGGGAGAGAGAGGUAGGAGUUUCUGCAAGCUAUCUAGUCUAUAAUAUCCUUGUGUCAUUUUUCAUAGUGAAAUUUAGCCUCACUAUACUUAUAAAAUAUGUACUUAAUUAUAAGAAUGGUUUCAUAAAUAUAGUUCCCCAAUGUGUUAUAAGAAUUUGUUUUCUGAAUAGUCUAAAGGCAUUGAACACAUCAUUUUUUUUCUUAGGCCUUUGUGGCAUCACAGGCUGACAGGGGAAUUCAGGGCAGGAGGAAGUCAGGAGACAUCAAUUAUUAUUAAUAUAAUCCUAGGGGACAUUAUAUCAGCUGUAAUCAUGGCUCACUUUUCUUUUGUAACAAGUGUCAAAAGGAGAGAACCUCCAGUUUUCUUUCUUCUAAUAAAGGUCAGAAUGAUAUUCUGUUAUGAACCAAAGGCAGGAUUUUUAUCUCUUAACAAAUGAAGCAAAUAAAAUGGAUUUGUCACUGUUAGUUCUCUUACCUCUGUGUUUCAUUUAAUUUUCUUCUGUCUGGGUCC